AACGAACGCUGGCGGCAUGCCUAACACAUGCAAGUCGAACGAGACCUUCGGGUCUAGUGGCGCACGGGUGCGUAACGCGUGGGAACCUGCCCUUAGGUUCGGAAUAACUCCCCGAAAGGGGUGCUAAUACCGGAUAAUGUCUUCGGACCAAAGAUUUAUCGCCUUUGGAUGGGCCCGCGUUGGAUUAGCUAGUUGGUAGGGUAAAAGCCUUCCAAGGCGACGAUCCAUAGCUGGUCUGAGAGGAUGAUCAGCCACACUGGGACUGAGACACGGCCCAGACUCCUACGGGAGGCAGCAGUGGGGAAUAUUGGACAAUGGGCGAAAGCCUGAUCCAGCAAUGCCGCGUGAGUGAUGAAGGCCUUAGGGUUGUAAAGCUCUUUUACCCGGGAUGAUAAUGACAGUACCGGGAGAAUAAGCCCCGGCUAACUCCGUG
rnacentral:rRNA from 1 species